rnacentral:rRNA from 1 species
CCUACGGGGUGCAGCAGUGGGGAAUAUUGGACAAUGGGCGAAAGCCUGAUCCAGCCAUGCCGCGUGUGUGAAGAAGGCCUUCGGGUUGUAAAGCACUUUCAGUGGGGAAGAAAGCCUUGGGGCUAAUACCCUCGAGGAAGGACAUCACCCACAGAAGAAGCACCGGCUAACUCCGUGCCAGCAGCCGCGGUAAUACGGAGGGUGCGAGCGUUAAUCGGAAUUACUGGGCGUAAAGCGCGCGUAGGCGGUCUGAUAAGCCGGUUGUGAAAGCCCCGGGCUCAACCUGGGAACGGCAUCCGGAACUGUCAGGCUAGAGUGCAGGAGAGGAAGGUAGAAUUCCCGGUGUAGCGGUGAAAUGCGUAGAGACCGGGAGGAAUACCAGUGGCGAAGGCGGUCUUCUGGACUGACACUGACGCUGAGGUGCGAAAGCGUGGGUAGCAAACAGGAUUAGAUACCCCUGUAGUC